CAGCCGAUGAAGUGAGCUGUAGCUCACGAAAGCUUAUGCUCAAAUAAAUUGGUUAGUCUCUAAGGUGCCACAAGUACUCCUUUUUCUUUUAACAAGUAGAGUGUUAUUUAUAAAAAUAUAAAAUGCCCCUCCCUCCAAAUGCCCUGCUUCCACAGAUCCACCAGGCAAAACUGUUUCUCUUGCUUCUGGAAUUCUGGAACAGAAAAGCAUGCACACACUCCCUCAAUGGCUAAUUGUUUUGAAAUGGGCUAGGCUGCUGUGAGGCUGGGCGUGCACGAUUCUCUGUUCCAACAUUCCAAAAUAAGAUACAGUAAUCCCCACCCACCCACAAAUGUCCCUUACUUAUUCUUGAAUCCUUUAAUUCUCCAUAGUAAAGGGUAAAAGGGAGGGUCAACAUAGAUCUGCAGAGGGAAUACAUUCAAAGCACAAAAGUCACCUCUUUUUCUCCCUUAUGACAUUGCCAGGACAUAUUCCCACUGAGAGAGAUGAACUUGCAGCAAAAAAUCCUCCAGGAGGUGGCUGUGGAAUAUUACUAGCUACAAAAUAAACACAGCUCUCCCAAAAGGAGCAGCUAAUCUGAUCUACAAUUACUUUAGUUAUUCUAAAAGAAAUCCAGAUGCAGACAGAGGUGUAUAGUCUGUGUGCACUCAGGUUGAUGGAAAGAGAAGAAAAAAAGAGUAGAGACUCAUGAAAUUUCUUUUAAUUUUAUUUUUUAACAAUUUUUCAUUUUAUUUUCCUGCAACGUGUGUUUAAUUUUAUCCAUUCUAUCAAUGGAGGGGAGGGGUGAUGAGUCUUGCCGAGAGAGGUCACAGAGCAAGCCUGCCCCGCACUUACCUGGCAGUGGCAUCAUGAUGACAGAACGACAGCCAGGCCAAACCUGAAAUGGCACUGAGAAACCAUGCACCAGGUCACAAUACCCAAGAGCAAGGAGCUGGGCCCAACCCCGUGGGACAGAAGCCAUAGCUGCAGGCAUAGACUGUCAAGAUCACAAAAGGAUUUUAACAAUGACCAUGUACAAAUGAUAUACAGUAACGAGCAAAGUACUACACAUUAAGGUGUUUCCUAACAAAGCUGGCAAAAAAGGUCCUUUACUACAAUGGGCUAUGGGAGGUUGAGAAUAUGAGGGUCAACUACAGAGUGUUCCUGAACAUAUGUUUUUGUUCUGCAAGCACCAAUGAGCUACAAGAAAGACACCCAAGAUUAUACAUGCAAACACACUGCAAUAACUAUUCUGAAAAGUUUAAAGAUUUGUAUUUAUUUUUUUCCUUUCAUUUCAACAUACUAUGGAGUAUCAAAGUAAACAUUACCAUACUGAAUAAAGAGUAAGAAAUGCGACUAGCCUUAAAA